AGAAUAAGCACCGGCUAACUCCGUGCCAGCAGCCGCGGUAAUACGGGGGGUGCAAGCGUUGUCCGGAAUCAUUGGGCGUAAAGAGAAUGUAGGCGGAAUUAUAAGUCUGGUGUGAAAUCCCACAGCUCAACUGUGGAACUGCAUCGGAUACUGUUUUUCUUGAGUUAUAGAGGGGGUCGCGGAAUUUCUGGUGUAGAGGUGAAAUUUGUAGAUAUCAGAAAGAACACCGGUGGCGAAGGCGGCGACCUGGCUAUUAACUGACGCUGAGAUUCGAAAGCGUGGGGAGCGAACAGGAUUAGAUACCCUGGUAGUCCACGCAGUAAACGAUGGAUACUCGUUGUCGGAUAGGUUCCUAUUCGGUGACUAAGCUAACGCAUUAAGUAUCCCGCCUGGGGAGUACGAUCGCAAGGCUGAAACUCAAAGGAAUUGACGGGGGCCCGCACAAGCGGUGGAGCAUGUGGUUUAAUUCGACGCAACGCGAAGAACCUUACCCAGGUUGGACAUGCUCGUGGUACGAACCUGAAAAGGCGAGGACUCUGAAAGGAGAGCGAGCUCAGGUGCUGCAUGGCUGUCGUCAGCUCGUGCCGUGAGGUGUUGGGUUAAGUCCCGCAACGAGCGUAACCCCUGUCUCCAGUUGCCAUCGGGUCAAGCCGAGCACUCUGGAGAGACUGCCCAGGAUAACGGGGAGGAAGGUGGGGAUGACGUCAAGUCAGCAUGGCCUUUAUGCCUGGGGCUACACACGUGCUACAAUGACCGGUACAAAGGGUUGCAAUACCGUAAGGUGGAGCCAAUCUCAAAAAACCGGCCUCAGUUCAGAUUGAGGUCUGCAACUCGACCUCAUGAAGGUGGAAUCGCUAGUAAUCGCGGAUCAGCACGCCGCGGUGAAUACGUUCCCGGGCCUUGUACACACCGCCCGUCACACCACGAAAGUCAGCUG
rnacentral:rRNA from 1 species